UACGUAGGGUGCAAGCGUUGUCCGGAAUCAUUGGGCGUAAAGCGCGCGUAGGUGGCUUCGUAAGUCCGUUGUGAAAGUCAAAGGCUCAACCUUUGAAAGCCGAUGGAUACUGCGGAGCUAGAGUACGGAAGAGGCGAGUGGAAUUCCUGGUGUAGCGGUGGAAUGCGCAGAUAUCAGGAGGGACACCAAUAGCGAAGGCAGCUCGCUGGGACGUUACUGACACUAAGGCGCGAAAGCGUGGGGAGCGAACAGG
rnacentral:rRNA from 1 species